GACGAACGCUGGCGGCGUGCUUAACACAUGCAAGUCGAACGGAAAGGCCCUGCUUUUGUGGGGUGCUCGAGUGGCGAACGGGUGAGUAACACGUGAGUAACCUGCCCUUGACUUUGGGAUGACUUCAGGAAACUGGGGCUAAUACCGGAUAGGAGCUCCUGCUGCAUGGUGGGGGUUGGAAAGUUUCGGCGGUUGGGGAUGGACUCGCGGCUUAUCAGCUUGUUGGUGGGGUAGUGGCUUACCAAGGCUUUGACGGGUAGCCGGCCUGAGAGGGUGACCGGCCACAUUGGGACUGAGAUACGGCCCAGACUCCUACGGGAGGCAGCAGGGGGGAAUAUUGCACAAUGGGCGGAAGCCUGAUGCAGCAACGCCGCGUGCGGGAUGACGGCCUUCGGGUUGUAAACCGCUUUCGCCUGUGACGAAGCGUGAGUGACGGUAAUGGGUAAAGAAGCACUGGCUAACUACGUG
rnacentral:rRNA from 1 species